UUGGAAUUUUGGUUUUUCCGAUUCAC
rnacentral:piRNA from 1 species